rnacentral:rRNA from 1 species
GACGAACGCUGGCGGCGUGCCUAAUACAUGCAAGUCGAACGAAGCUUUUUUAACUGGUGCUUGCACCGACUUAAACAACUGAGUGGCGAACGGGUGAGUAACACGUGGGUAACCUGCCCCAAAGCGGGGGAUAACAUUUGGAAACAGAUGCUAAUACCGCAUAACCACAGAAACCACAUGGUUUCUGUGUUCAAGAUGGUUUCGGCUAUCACUUUGGGAUUGACCCGCGGCGGAUUAGCUAGUUGGUAAGGUAACGGCUUACCAAGGCAAUGAUACGUAGCCGAACGGGGAGGUUGAUCGGCAACAGUGGGACUGAGACACGGCCCAAACUCCUACGGGAGGCAGCAGUAGGGAAUCUUCCACAAUGGACGAAAGUCUGAUGGAGCAACGCCGCGUGAGUGAAGAAGGUUUUCGGAUCGUAAAACUCUGUUGUCAGAGAAGAACGUGUGCGAGAGUAACUGUUCGUGCAGUGACGGUAUCUGGCCAGAAAGCCACGGCUAACUACGUGCCAGCCGCCGCCGUAA